AAAAAAGACAUAUUCGUUCAACUCAGAGUGAACCCGCUGCUCUCACGAUGAACCCUAAACUAUCUAACGCUAAAUUCAACUUCUCUCUCACUCGAUUCAAUCGUUCAUCACGAUCUCAAAUUCCCUCUCAUCUCUCACAAUUGAACUCGUCCUCUCUCUCUCUCACUCGAAAUUGAACCAUCUCUCACGAUGAAACCCUAAGAUUCUCAGGCAAAAUUGAACAAUCUCUCACUCGAACCUGGCCUCUCUCUCUCUCACACUCGUUCUCUCGAACUCCUCAUCUCAGAUUCGCCCAAACUUCAUCGUCUUCUUCAGGUUCUCAAGAUUCGUUCAAGCUUCAGGACUCCAUGGUAUGGGUGGAAGCUUUGUUACCAUUCGAAAAUGGGGACCUUCUCAGCACCAUUCACCAGGUUGGAAUGGUUGAGAAAGCUAACAAAGAUUGGCCUUUUGGAUUUCUUGUUUUUCUUCUAUUGACUAUUGUUUAUUUUGAUUGUUGAUGAUCAUCAUGGAGAAUUAUUCAAGAAGUGGUGGUGUUCAUGAUUUUACUAUGGCUUCAAGAAAAGCUGAAGAAACAAGUUGAUGACACCCUCGACUUAUUCAACGAACUUCAGUUGCAACAUCAGGUGGUAGCUACAAAGACUAAGACGCUUCAUGAUGCAUGUGAUAGACUGAUGUGGUUUUGCUAUCUAUCCUCUUAAUCUCAGUUGUCUUUUUCUUGUUUUUCUUUUGUUUUGCCUGGAAUGAUUGUGAAAGUUACUAUGGCAUGUGGGUAAUGGUUGCCCUUUGAAUGUACUCUCUUGUUACUUUAAUAAUUGGCCAAAUUAUGUAUAUGUAGAACUAGUAAAUUAAAUUAGAAAACUGGUUACUGCAUUUCCCUUUAUGCAUAGUUGCAAAUAUGAGUAUAAUAGAGUUACAUGUAGGAAUUUUGAAUAUAGAGAAUCAAAAUCCAUCUACUCUCUCUUACACGAAAUUAUAAUAAAUGCACGGAAUGCAAUUGAAUUCAACUACAAAGAAUCUUGAUACCAUGCCCAUGUCGCGUAAAGGAAUGACACAUUGAAAUCAAACUAGCUCAUACGUAUCUCUUAUUUAUUCAUUCAUCAUUUGAACUCACUCACCAUGUUUUUUUGCUUAAUUUACUCAGUUGCUUCAUUGCAGAGUUGUUUUAGCACCCUUGACAAGAAAUAGAUCCUACGGCAAAGUUCCUCAAUCUCAUGCUAUCCUCUAUUACUCUCAGAGAGCAGCUUGUUCUAAUGGCGGUCUUCUCAUAACUGAAGCUACCGGUGUCUCUGAUACUGCAAGGAUCUUGAAGGCAUGUUAAAUAUGAAGAUUCAAGAUUUGGAGAUCGUAGAGGAACGUAGAAUCAAAAGAGCGGACAAACAUGGAAUUGUUAAAUAUGAAGAUUUGAAGAUUGUUAUUUCAUCCGAAAACGUUGUUGUUCAAGUCACUUGAUGUGUUCGAUGAUCCGACGUCAUUAACAGAGGAGGAGCUGUAUGAAUUGUGAAACAGUUGGGCAACUUGUUUUCUUGACCUAUAUAAUCCUUAGGUAGAUUAUGAUGUUGCCGAUGAGGCUUAGGAGCUAGCUAGGUUAAUUUGUGUGAUGUUACAAUGGAUUCAUAUUAAUUAUGAUGUUUUGAAUUGUAAUGACAUUUGAUAUUUUGCUUGAA